UUCAAGCACCAAGAGGCUAGAUUAUAUGAAGUUUGAACAACAUAAUGAAAGUGAGAUACUGUGCCUGCAUGAAAAUUUUGUAAAUGGAAUCAACUGAAAAAUGUACAAGAUCACAGCUUAUUUUUUCUGGGAUUUAUUAUCACUGUGCAAAAGCAAUACAAAAUUGUUUGCAAUGUCCUGUUUGAAGUACCACUGUACAUACACCUGCAAUGGUCAUUAACUUCCGCAGACUGGGCACUAACAAUGAAGAAAGGAAGGAGACACUGAAGCAGGGCAAGAAGUGAGAACAGAUUUUCAUCCUGUAGGAAGGUGUGGGAGAAGGAGGAGCAAGACACAGUCAACAGCAUACUUGUGUGGUCCACUUCCUGUGCUUGUUCUGUUCUUUGAAAUGACAAUGUUUUUAAGUUACAGUAGCUUAAUAGACAUCAAUUUCCAGUCAUUCGAAAUAACCUCCAUCCUACUCAAGUCAGAGAAUUGGGUUCUGCUUCCUGAUACUUGAGCUUUAUUGCUGUCGAUCUAAGAUGUAUAUGGAUGGGAAGAUGAAGAAGGAGAAAAGAUAGGGAAAGAGCAUCUAGAAGGAAAAUGAAGAACUACAUAAAAUCAAGUUAUACUGG